AUGUCCUUAUAUUCUAUUUGCUGUGGUAACUUCCACCAACUAAGGAACUCAAUAGGACACAUUUGUAGUAUCAGAUUUCUCAAGUAUCACAGCAGAAUAAGCUCUGAAAAUGUACUUCAGAACAGAAGACAUAAAACUAGACCUUUUAGUGCAACAGUACUAGUGAGAAAUGCAAGAAAAGGAAGUAAGCAAUCCAUCAGCAAUGACCGCCAUCUACACGGUGGAUCAGUUGAAUCAUCAAUUGAAGUGUUCAAGCAAUCUGAUCUGCUGCACCUGAAAUCACUCCAGUGCUACGAUAUUCAGGAAAAGGUUUCUGGAGGCAAGACCGACUGCCCUGCAACUAUCCUUGUCUUUGAUAUUGAAACUACUGGCUUCUCACGCCGUGGUGAUAGAAUUAUUGAGUUUGCUGUACGUGAUCUUAUGGGUGGAAAGAAUAGCACUUUUCAGACCCUUAUAAAUCCUGAGAGAGAGGUAAAAAACGCAGCUGUUCAUGGUAUCAGCACCAAGAUGGUUUGCAGUUCUGAUAUCCCAAGAUUUGGGGAGUUUAUCCCCAUUCUACUACAAUACGUUUGGAGUCGUCAAGUUGCUGGUAAACCAGUUAUGUGGGUUGCUCAUAACGGGAAAACCUUUGAUGUGCCCUUUCUCAUCUUUGAGUUCCAACGUUGCAAACAAGAGAUGCCUGCUGACUGGCUGUUUGUGGACACACUUCCUAUUGCAAGACAGUUAGUUGAUUCCGAUGGGGAAAAAAUCAGCUCCGCAUCGAUGAAGACACUGGUAGAGCGCUACAAGAUCCCAGUCGAUGGCAAAGCGCACCGUGCAAUGCAUGAUGUGACCGCCCUGUGUUAUGUACUCCAGAAGUUGACGUUCGAGUUGAAACUAACCGUUCCACAGCUCCUUGAGAAGUCGUUCCGGGUCUCUGAUAUCACGACGACACCCCCUAAAAAAUGA
rnacentral:rRNA from 1 species